CCUACGGGUGGCUGCAGUCGAGAAUCAUUCACAAUGGGGGAAACCCUGAUGGUGCGACGCCGCGUGGGGGAAUGAAGGUCUUCGGAUUGUAAACCCCUGUCAUGUGGGAGCAAAUUAAAAAGAUAGUACCACAAGAGGAAGAGACGGCUAACUCUGUGCCAGCAGCCGCGGUAAUACAGAGGUCUCAAGCGUUGUUCGGAAUCACUGGGCGUACAGCGUGCGUAGGCUGUUUCGUAAGUCGUGUGUGAAAGGCGCGGGCUCAACCCGCGGACGGCACAUGAUACUGCGAGACUAGAGUAAUGGAGGGGGAACCGGAAUUCUCGGUGUAGCAGUGAAAUGCGUAGAUAUCGAGAGGAACACUCGUGGCGAAGGCGGGUUCCUGGACAUUAACUGACGCUGAGGCACGAAGGCCAGGGGAGCGAGAGGGAUUAGAUACCCGGGUAGUC
rnacentral:rRNA from 1 species